UCCAGGUACAGUUGCACAGGGUUUCUUUCCCCUAUUCCUUAGAUCUGUUGUCCUGGAGGCACUAACAGUGUUGCUGAUGGGCUUAGCCUUGGCCAGUGGCACGUCCAUCUUGGACCUGGCUGGCAUAGGGGAAGCUUCUGGCAGCUUCUCACAGAAGCUACCCCAUAGUCCUCCCAGCUAGCAACAGCUUGCCAUGCAAACUUGAUACACUGCUGUUCUCACUGUGCUAAGUACAGCUUGAAUUGCUGUGGCUUGUACAAGCACAUGGGAAGAUGCAGUUCUUACAAGUUUGAAGCCUAAAAUGGAAAACUUCCAAAUGAGGAAAGGGAGAAGAAGACGGUGACAUCUGCAAAAUUAUCACAGUGACCUGUUGAUCUGACGUCUUUUUGGUGUGUAGCACUUUAUUUACUUUGAAAACAUCCAGUUUUAUCAUUUUGUCAUGGAAAAUCUCAUGACAGUGAUGCAGAAAAGAGGAUUGUUAAGUUUUCCAAUGGGAAAGAAAACAGAGAAAAAAGUAAGGGGGUGAGAAAAUGUGUGUUCUGUUGGGAACAAUAUGGACACAUGGACAGUAAAGUGGCAUGACUGAGGUGUCACAGAAGCGAAGGAGGAGGAGACAAAGCUGACCUGUAAUCAGCAGUGACACACUUCAGUGGCAGAUCUGGACCUCUGGCCCAGCUCUUGCGGUUCCCAUGUAUGGUAAGGGAAAGAGGCUGCUGGAUUUCUUGUCCUGGAUUUCUCUUGUCUGCAGUGUUUGCAGUCUAUUAGGUAACUCUUUCUAACAGAUAAUUCUUAACCAUCCCUUCUUAUUUCAUUAAAUUGCCAAAGCGUGGGGUAACACUGAACAGCAAUGCUUGUUAUUUUGGGUUCUUUGCAUUUUUGUACUGUUCAGAUUCAGAUUAUUCUGGCUGCUGUUUAGGUCAGAGUGUGUGGCGACACAUCUGCUGAAAGCUUCUUUGAAAGAGCUUUUUAAGUCCUGAAGAAGUUGGGCUAUGACUGGCAAAAGAACUUUAGUAGGGCUCUUUAACUUCUUGCCUUCUUGUGAAGGACUCUUUUGAACUUCUGGUUGGAUUUUGAAGGCUUAGGGGGUUCUCUAGUUCCACAUCUGCCUUCAAAAAUCCCAUAAUUAAGCUUCAGAGACUUAAGGCCUGACACUGAGAUGGCACAGGCUCAAUGGUUGUGACAGAUAAACGUGGAGAAAUGCCAAAUAAGAGAAUUCUGGGUGAGGCCCUGUCUUUGAAGAGCUGUUUUGUUGUCUCGUGCUGGUGUAACACUGAGUAGGGAGAGGCAAGGACACCUUACUGACUGCAGGCACUUCUCCUUUGUGGAGUGCCUGUGUGGAACAGAGGAUUGCGGCAGAAGGGACUCAGCUGCUGCUUGGAGGAAUAGGCAGCAACAGAAAGAGGUCAUCCUGAGGUUGUCCACAAAACCAGUGCUAAUCGCUGUUGGCCAUGACCCUGCAAUGGUGGCUUGAGUGCCUAUACAGCUAUGUCCAAAUUACUGUGCUGCAAGAGGAACAGGGAAGGGCAAAACCAGGCAGUAGGUGAGUACCAGCCAGUGCAGCAAUCUAGGUGCUUGUCUAUGUAAAUUGUGUAAUUGGCUUUUUCCUU